AUUUCCUUCUUGCUGCAUCAGGAUGAUGAGAAUUGAAGUCUGGUUUAACCCUGUCCUUAACCUUCCCUGGGGCCCUGGAUGGGUAGUUCUGUAGCUCCCGGCCUCUUGCUGACCACUGGACCAAAAUACACAGAAGAAUCCUAUACAAGGUAAGCAUUUGACGGAUACCUCUUAGGUGGCCUCAGCUUUAGGAAGCUUUAUUGGAUCCAAAAAUAGCUUUAUUUCCCCAGGCCAGCCUCCCCACAUACCUUGCCUCCAGCUUAGUGUCACAGUGCCUGUAUCUCUGUGCGAAGAGUGAUAUUGGGGUGUUUGCAGGCUGGACUCAGAGCUGAAAGUCUCCCUGCCAAGUAGUGAGCAUUUCACUAUUCACGGAGGUGCCCCAGGGGCCAGCAGAGAGAUUUCCAGAACAGGAAACACCCCCGCAGAAGUGGAGAUCAACAGUAACAACAAUGUAUAUUUCUAAACAGAACAGUGACUCAUAUUAAACAUCUGUUUCACAAUAGGGCCUUAUAUGCAAAACAACCCUAAGUAUAGAAGGAGCCAAGAAACCAAAGAAUGAGGCAGACAAAUCCAGUUUGUCAUCACGGGGUGUUUCACUGGGGGAACUAUGGACAGAAGCAUCGUCUUGGAUGGCCACAAGGCAGGUAGAUCUCCAUGCUGUUACAUCCCAGACUCAGGAACUAUAUACCAUAAGGAAAGAAUGCACAUGCUCCAGAAGGAAUGUGUAGGAAUUUGCUUAAGGGCAGGAUUUACAGUAAGUAGGAGUUCAUCAAGGUUGAUUUGAUCCAAGUGUUACCAGAAAGGGGUCCCGAUCCAGACCCCAACAGAGGGUUCUUGGAUCUCGCGCCAGAAAGAAUUCAGGGCAAGUUCAUAAAGUAAAAGCAAGUUUAUUAGGAAAGUAACGUGGUGAAGGACACAGCUACUCCACAGACAGGUUAGGAAGAGGAGGAAUGUGUCCACCCUGGAGACAAUACUUGUUUAUAUAUAGCAUAAGAAAAGAUUAUGGGGAGAUGUGUUCUGCUACAAGGGUUUGUGAUAAAGGAUUAAUUUUCUUACUGUAUUUCGCAAGAAUCGAAAUUAUCGUAGGAACGCUUCUGUUGUCAAGAUAUCGGGAUAUCAGGACACUCCUAAGUCUGGGUCUGUUUAGUAAACAUUGUCAAUCUGUUCCCUUAACUGUAAACAUCUGGAGGCUAGGAAUACCUCACUUUCUGGGAGUGCGGCCCAGCAAGCCCCAGCCUCAUUUUUCUUAGCCCUCACUCAAGAUGGAGUCACUCUGGUUCUAACGCCUCUGGCAUAAGGGCAGGAUUAAUGGUAAGUAUGCGCUUUUAUAUAAGGAAUGAUAGAUAAACUGGAAAUCUUAGAGGCAUUCUUGGAACCAGGGUUAAUCAGAAGCCUAGCUUCCAAGAUGGAGUUAUUUCAGCCUCCACAACAUCUCUUCAGAUAGAUGGGACUUCACAGAUUUCCCCAAGAAUCACGGAUAGAAUUGGUUUGACAAGUGUGUGAUUACAUAGACCACUUUAUGGCUCCCAUAGAGGCUGGCAUGAUGGUUUACGCCUACAACCCCAGCACUUUGGGAGGCUGAGGCAGGAGGAUUGAUUGAACCCAGGAGUUCGAGACCAGCCUGGGCAACAUAGGAGACCCUGUCUUUAUUUUGUUUGUUUGUUUGUUUUGUGUUUUUUGAGACAAUCUCACUCUCACUGCCAGACUGGAGUGCAGUGGCACAAUCAGCUCAUUGCAGCCUCGACCUCCUGGUCUCAAGCAAUCGUCCUACCUCAGCCUCCUGAGUGGUGGGGACUACAGGUGCUUAUCACCACACAUGGCUAAUUUAAAAAAAGAAAAUUUGGAGCUGGGUUUGGUGGCUCACUCCCGUAAUCCCAAUACUUUGGGAGGCAGGCUAAGGCAGGUGGAUCACCUGAGGUCGGAAGUUCAAGACCAGCCUGGCCAACAUGGUGAAACCCCAUCUCUACUGAAAAUACAAAAAUUAGCUGGGCAUGGUGCUGUGCACCUGUAAUCCCAGCUUCUCAGAAAGCUGAGGCAGGAGAAUCACUUGAACCCGGAAGGUGGAGGUCGCAGUGAGCCGAGAUCAUGCCAUUGCACUCCAGCCUCAGUGACAGAGUGAGACUCUGUAUCAAAAAAAAAAAACAGAAAAAAAAAACUGUAGACAGGGUUUUACCAUGUUGCCCAAGCUGCUCUCAAAGUCUUGAGCUCAAGCAAUUCACCCGUCUCAGCUUCCCAAAGUGCUGGGAUUACAAGUAUGUGCCACUGUGCCUGACCUAAACAAAAGUUUAUAUAUAUGUAUAUAUACACACACACAUAUAUAUGUGUGUGUAUAUAUAUGUAUGUGUGUGUCUAUAUAUAUAUAUAUAUAUGUAUGUAUGUAUCUCAAAGAAAUAUAUUUGUGGGUAAAAUACUUUGAUUUCUUUCAGGGCCUGCUAUCUGUCAUGCUGGUAUCUCAUUGCUAAAGAGUGUGUUUUGUCCAUCUUAAGGUUUCUCUUUUCAUGUUCAUGCUUGUUGGCUAUACCUGAAUUUCAAAGGGAGGUGGGUAUAAUGAGGCAUGUCCAAACACCCCUUCCCAUGAUGGCCUGUACUAGUGUUUCAGGUUAACUUUGGAAUGCCCUUGGCUGAAAGAGGAGUCCAUUCUGUUGAUGGGGGUGCUUAGAAUUUUAUUUUUGGUUUGCACAGGAACUAUUCACACUUGACAGCUCUUCAGAUAUUUUCAAACAUGUUAGUCCCUGACUUUGGUUUUUUUUGUUCGUUUGGUUUGUUUGUUUUUUUGAGACAGAGUUUUGCUCUUGUUGCCCAGGCUAGAGUGUAGUGGCGUGAUCUUGGCUCACUACAACCUCCGCCUCCCAGGCUCAAGCGAUUCUCCUGCCUCAGCCUCCUGAGUAGCUGGAACUACAGGCACCCACCACCACGCCGGGCUAAUUUUGUUUGUAUUUUUAGUAGAGAUGGGGUUGGCCAGGCUGGUCUUGAACUCCUGAUCUCAGGUGAUCCACCCACCUCGGCCUCCCAAAGUGCUGGGAUUAGAGGCAUGAGCCACCAUGCCCAGCCAGUCCCUGACUCUUAUAUUCUGCAGGCGUUCAGCCAUUCCUCAUGUCACCUCUUUUCAAGUCCCCAUCUCACCCAUCUUAGCUCCUCCAUGAACUUGAUCUACCUAUUUGGUGGUUUUCAACCCCGGUAGCACAAUGGAAUCACUCAGGGAGCUUUGACAAAUGUAGAUGCCUGAGAAAGCUUUAGGAGACUUCAUGAUUUUAUUAAAUACAAAGUGAAAAAUGGUAAUAUAACAGUGGAAAAUCUCAGAAGACACCACUUGAACCAAAUGGUCAAGGUGAACAUCUCCAGCAAUGAGAUAUAAUGCCAUCAUGAACCCUCUAAUGUGAUACACUAAAAAGGACACAGCUUGGAGGCUGAAUACAGUAGCUCACACCUGUAAUCCCAGCACUUUAGGAGGCUGAGGCAGGAGGAUCACUUGAGCUCAGGAGUUUGAGAUCAGCCUGGGCAACGUAAUGAGACCCUGUGUUUACAAAAAUAUAAAAAUUAGCUGGGCACGAUGAUGCAUGCCUGUAAUUCCAGCUACUCGGGAGGCUGAGGUGGGAAGAUCACUUAAGCCCAGGAGGUCGAGGCUGCAGUGAGCUAUGAUUGCACCACUGUACUCCAGGCUGGGUGACAGAGUGAGACCCUGUCUCAAAAAAUAAAUAAAAAGGACACAACUGUACUAUUACAGUCUCGUUGAGAAAAAUGCAUAGCCUCAAUCUAACCACAAGAGAAUAUCAGACAAACCCAAAUUGAUGGGCAUUCUACAAACUAACUGUCCAGUAGUCUUCAAAAGUGUCAAGACUGUGAAAGGGCAGGAAUGUCUCAGUGCAGGCAGGAAUGCCUCCGUGCCUCCAGCUGAGUAACGCUGACAGAUGGCUGUAGACCUGGACAACAUCUUGGCUACAACCUUAAGAGAAACCUUAAAUCCAAACCAUGUACCUAAGUCAUUUCUGAAUCCCUGACCAAAAAAAGUAUGUAAAAUAAUCAAUGUUUAUUAUUGGUGUUUUUUUUUCUUUGGAAACAGGGUCUCACUCUGUCACCCAGACUGGAGUGCAGUGGUGCAAUCUUGGCUCACAGCAGCCUCAACAUCCCAGGCUCAAGUGAUCCUCCUACCUCAGCCUCCCUAGUAGCUGGGACUACAGAUGGAGUCUCACUCUGUGGCCCAGGCUGGAGUGCAGCGGCGUGAACUCAGCUCACUGCAACCUCUACCUCCCAGGUUCAAGCGAUUCUCGUGCCUCAGCCUCCUGAGUAGCUGGGAUUAUAGGGGCAUGCCAGAACCCCCAGCUAAUUUUUGUAUUUUUAGUAGAGAUGGAGUUUCACCAUGUUGUCCAGUCUGGUCUUGAACUCCUGACCUCGAGUGAUCCACCCACCUCAGCCUCCCAAAGUGCUGGGAUUACAGGCAUGAGCCACUGCACCCAGCCUCUGAGCACUGUUUUUAAUACAUUUUACAAAUUUUAGUAUAUUUUUAAGCAUCUGGAAGUAUUUUAUAAUUGCUUUUUUUAUGUGUGUGUGGAGACAGUGUCUCACUAUGUUGCCCAGGCUGGUCUCAAACUCCUGGGCUCAAACAAUCCUCCCACCUUGGCCUCCGAAAGUGCUGGUAAAAGGUGUGAGCCACCGCGCCCAGCUCUAUUUUCUAAUUCCCUUGGUGAUUUCUCCUUGGAUCCAUUGGAUAUUGAGAAGUGUGUUGUUUAAUUUCCACAUUUUUUUUCUGUUAUUGAAUUCUAAUUUCAUUUCACUGUAAUAGGGAGAACAUACUUGGCAUGAUUUUCUUUUUCUCUUUUUUUUUUUGAGACGGAGUCUCGCUCUGUCACCCAGGCUGGAGUGCAGUGGCGCCAUCUCGGCUCACUGCAACCUCUGCCUCCCGGGUUCAUGCCAUUCUCCUGCCCCAGCCUCCCAAGUAGCUGGGACUACAGGUGCCCGCCACCAAGCCCGGCUAAUUUUUUGUAUUUUUAGUAGAGACAGGGUUUCACCAUGUUAGCCAGGAUGGUCUUGAUCUCCUGAUCUUGUGAUCCACCCGCCUCAGCCUCCCAAAGUGCUGGGAUUACAGGGAUGAACCUCCGCGCCCGGCCAAUUUUCUUUUUCUUUUUGAGGCAAGGUCUCACUUUGUCGUCCAGGCUGGAGUGCAGUGGUGGGGAUCUCGGCUCACUGCAACCUCUGCCUCCCAGGCUCAAGAGAUUCUCCCACCUCAGCCUCCCUAGUAGCUGGGACUACAGCCAUGUGCCACCACAGCUGGCUAACUGUUUGCUUUUUUUUUUCUUUUUUUUUUGAGACGCAGUCUCGCUCUGUUGCCCAGGCUGGAGUGCAGUGGCGUGAUCUUGGCUCACUGCAACCUCCGCCUCCCUGGUUCAAGCAAUUCUUCUGCCUCAGCCUGCCGAGUAGCUGGGACUACAGGCACGUACCACCACACCCGGCUAAUUUUUGUGUUUUUAGUAGAGACGGGGUUUCACUAUGUUGGCCAGGCUGGUCUCCAACUCCUGACCUCAUGAUCCGCCUGCCUCGGCCUUCCAAAGUGCUGGGAUUACAGGAAUGAGCCACCGCGUCCGGCCAACUGUUUGUAUUUUUAGCAGAGACAGGGUUUUGCCAUGUUGCCCAGGCUGCUGUCAAACUCCUGGGCCCAAGCAAUCUUCCCAUCUUGGCCUCCCAAAGUGCUGGGAUUAUAGGCACGAGCCACAUCAUUUCAAUCCUCUUACAUUUAUUGAGAUUCACUUUAUGGCCUAAUGUGUGUUCUGUUUAUCCUGGAGAAUGUUCCACGUAUACUGGAGAAGACUAUAUAGUCUGCUGUUGUUGAAUGUUCUAUCUGUGCCUGUCAGGUUUAGUUGGUUGAUAGCGUUGUUCCAGUCUUCCAUAACCAUGCUGAUUUUCUGUCUAGCUGUCCUAUCCAUUAUUGCAAGUGGAAGUACACACACUAGUGGAAUUACCCACAGUAGUGGAAUUACUAGGUCAUAUGGUAAUUCUAUGUCUUAGCUUUUUGAGGAACUGCCAAACUGUCUUCUGUAGCAGCUGCAUCAUUUUACGUUUCCAUCAGCAGUGCAAAAGGAUUCCAGUCUUGCCACAUCCUUGCCGGCGCUUGUUAUUUUCUGUUUUUUUAAAAAUAUGUCAUAGCUAUCCUAAUAAGGUGUGAAGUGGUAUCUCAUUGUCUUUUCAGUUUGAAUCUCCUUAAUGAUUAGUGAUGUUGAGCAUCUUUUUAUGUGCUUAUUGGCACUUGUCUAUUUUCUUUGGAGAAAUAUCUAUUCAAGUUCUUUGCCCAAUUUUCUUUCUUUAUUUCUUUCUUUCUUUUUUUUGAGACGGAGUUUCGCUCCUGUUGCCCAGGCUGGAGUGCAGUGGCAUGAUCUCAGCUUACUGCAACCUCCACCUCUAGGGUUCAAGCGAUUCUCCUAUCUUAGCUUCCCAAGUAGCUGGGAUUACAGGCUUGGGCCACCACGCCCGGCUAUUUUUGUAUUUUUAGUAGAGACGGGGUCGGCUAUUUUUGUAUUUUAGUAGAGACAGGGUUUCACCGCGUUGGCCAGGCUGGUCUCAAACUCGUGACCUCAAGCGAUCCAUCCGCCUUGGCCUCCCUAAGUGCUGGGAUUACAGGCGUGAGCCACCGUACCCAGCACCAGUUUUCAGUUGGUUUGUUUGUUGUUGAGUUGUAGGAAUUCUUUAUAUAUUUUGGAUUUGAUUUGUAAAUAUUCCCUCCCUUUCUGUGGGUUGUCUUUUUACUCUCUUGAUAGUUUCUUUUGAUGCACAAAGGUUGAAAAUUUGGUGGUCGGGCACAGUGUCUUACACCUGUAAUCCCAGCACUUUGGGAGGCCAAGGCAGGAGGACUGCUUGAGCCCAGGAGUUUGAGACCAGCCUGGGCAAAAUAGUGAGACCUUGUCUCUAUUUAAAAAAAAAAAAUUUUUUUUAAGUUUUAAAUUUUGAUGAAGUUCAACUUCUCUAUUUUUUCUUUUAUUGCCUUUUUAUGGCUUUUGGUGACACAUCCAAGAAAUCAUUGCCAAAGCCAAUGUGUUUUCUUCUAAGAGUCUUAUAAGUUUUACCUCUUAUAUUUAGGUCUUUGACUCAUUUGGAGUUAAUUUCUGUAUAUGGUGUGAGGGAAGGGUCAAAUGGCAUUUUUUUUUUUUUUUUUUUGCAUAUGGAUAUCCCACUUUUCUCAGCACCGUUUGUUGAAAAUGUUGCCUUUUCCCCAUUGAAUGGUCUAGGUCCUCAUGUCAAAAAGCAAUUGACUUUAAAUAUGAGGGUUUAUUUCUGUGUUCUUUCUUCUAUUCCAUUGGUCCACAUUUCUGUCCUUGCACCAGUUCUGCACCAUUUUGUCACCUUGAAUCACUUUGAAUAGACUCACUGCUCUUUAUUUUUUUUUUUUUAGACAGAGUCUCGCCCUGUCACCCAGGCUGGAGUGCAUUGGCACUAUCUCAGCUCACUGUAACCUCUGACUCCCAGGUUCAAGCCAUUCUGCUGCCUCAGCCUCCCAAGUAGCUGGGAUCCAGGUGCAUACCACCUCACCCAGCUAAUUUUUGUAUUUUUAAUAGUAACGGGGUUUCACCAUGUUGGCCAGGCUGGUCUCGAACUCCUGGCCUCUCGUGAUCCGCCUGCCUCGGCCUCCCAAAGUGCUGGGAUUACAGGUGUGAGCCACCACACUUGGCCUAAAUAGAUUAAUUCUCAAUUAUCCUGCUUCUCUGCCCCCAUGCCUUCCCUGCCCUCUCAGCUUCCCUCAAUCUGUCCUCUCCAAAAUGCAAUGGUACCUUUCCUACCCCUACUCCAAUGCCAAUCUUCUUCUCCCUCUAGCUUCCCCCAAACUCAAGGGCACGACUAUUCAUGUAGGAGUGCUCCUUGAUUUCUUUCUUUUUUUUUUUUUUUUUUGAGACAGUGUCUUACUCUGUCACCCAGGCUGGAGUGCAGUGGCACAAUCAGGGCUCACUGCAGCCUCGACCUCCCGAGCUCAAGCAAUCCUCCCACCUCACUCUCCCAAGUAGCUGGGACUACAGGUUCAUGCCACAAUGCCCUGCUAAUUUUUGUACUUUUUGUAGAGAUGAGGUCUUCUAUGUUUCCCAGGCUGGUCUCAAACUCCUGAGCUCAAGUGAUCCACCCACUUCGGCCUCCCAAAGUGCUGGGAUUACAGGCAUGAGCCAUCGCACUCGGCCUGAUUUCUCUCUUUCUCUUACCCCCAUACCCACUCCAUCAGCCACCUCAUAGGCUCCACUUCCAGGUAUAUUUGAAAUCCACCUGCUUCUCCCCUCCUCAGCUGCUACUCCCCUCAUUCAACCAUGGUCAUCUCUUUCCAGGAUUCCUGCACCACCUACAGAAAAUGGUGAGAUGAGCCAGACAGGUAGCUCAUGCCUGUAAUCCCAGCACUUUAGGAGGCUGAGGUGGGUGGAUCACUGGAGGUCAGGAGUUCGAGACCAGCCUGGCCAACAUGGUGAAACCCUGUCUCUAUUAAAAAUACAAAAAACUCGCCGGGCAUGCUGGUGGGCACCUGUAGUCCCAGCUACUGGGAGGCUGAGGCAGGAGAAUUGUUUGAACCUGGGAGGCAGAGGAUGCAGUGAGCCAAGAUCACACCACUGCACUCCAGCCAGGGUGACAGAGCAAGACUCUAGUUUCAAAAAAAAAAAAAGGGAAGAAAAAAAAUGGUGAAAUGAACCAUUUUCACUCUUGCCUCCUUCCACACAACAGCCAGAGUAAUCUUUUUUGUUUCUUUUUAAAUUAAUUAAUUUUUUUUUUGAGUCAAGGUCCUACUGUGUCUCACUCAGGCUAGAGGGCAGUGGCAUGAUCAUAGCUCACCGUAGCCUUGACCUCCUUGGCUCAAGCGAUCCUCCUGCCUCAGCCCCCUAAGUAGUUGGGACUACAGGCACACAUCACCAUGCAUGGCUAACAUAAAAAAUAUUUUUGUAAAGACAGUAUCUCACUAUGUUGCCAAGGCUGGUCUUGUACUCCUGGACUCAAGAGAUCCUCCUGCAUCAGCCUCCCAAAGCAAUGUGAUUACAGGCAUGAACCACUGUGCCUGGCCUGUUUCAAAAUAUAUAUAUAUUUGAGACAGGGUCUCUCUCUGUCACCCAGGCUGGAGUGUAGUGUUGUGAACAUAGCUCACUGUAGCCUCGAACUCCCAGGCUCAAGUGAUCCUCCCACCUCAGCUUCCCAAAGUGCUGGGAUUACAGACAUGAGCCACUGUGCCUAGCCUCUCCUAUACCUUUUAAAGCCUUUUGUUAUUUGUGUAACAUACUAUAAUCACUGUUAGGAACCUUGCCUCUCUCAAUAAAAUAUUUUAGGUAGCAUUCUGUAUGGAUACUAGCUUCCUUAGUUUGGGGUUUUUUUUUUUUUUUGGUUUUAUGACUGCAGAGGAUUACUUCAAAAGGACACACCAUAAUUUAUUGGCCAGGCAUGGUGGCUCAUGCCUGUAAUCCCAGCACUUUGGGAGGCUGAGGUGGGUGGAUUACCUGAGGUCAGGAGUUUGAGACCAGCCUGGCCAACGUGGUGAAACCCCGUCUCUACUAAAUACAAAAAAUUAGCAGGUCAUGGUGGCACACACCUGUAAUCCCAGCUAUUUGGGAGGCUGAGGCAGGAGAAUCGCUUGAAUCUGGGAGGCGGAGGUUGCAGUGAGCUGAGAUCCCACCACAGCAAUAUGUCUCAAAAAAAAAAAAAAAAAGGACGCGCCAUAAUUUAUUAAUCAUUCCCACAUUGAUCGACAUCUGGGUCAUCUCUAAUCAUUUAUUCUGGCAGUCAAUGCUGCAAUGAAUAACUUCUUAAACCACUUUGCACUUAAGCAAGGAUAUCUACAAGUUAGAAUCCUAGAAGUGAAAUUGAUCAAAUAUAUGUACAUUUGUCAUUUUGAUAGAUAUUGUCAGAUUCCCUUCUAUAGAAAUUGCACCCAGCUGGGUGCGGUGGCUCAUGACUGUAAUCCCAGCCUUUUGGGAGGCCAAGGCAGGUGGAUCACCUGAGGUCAGGAGUUCGAGACUAACCUGACCAAUAUGGUAAAAGCUCGUCUCCACUAAAAAUACAAAUAUUACCCAGGUGUGGUUGUGGGUGCCUGUGGUCCCAGCUACUUGGGCGGCUGAGACAGGAGAAUUGCUUGAACCCAGGAGGCAGAGGUUGCAGUGAGCCGAGAUCGCGCCACUGCACUCCAGCCUGGGUGACAGAGGGAGACUCCAUCUCAAAAAACAAACAAACAAAAAUUAGCCAGCCGUGCUGGCGUGCACCUAUAAUCCUAGCUACUCAGGAGGCUGAGGCAGGAGAAUCACUUGAACCUGGGAGAUGGAAGCUGCAGUGAGCCGAGAUUGCACCACUGCACUCCAGCCUGGGUGACAGAGCGAGAGUCGGUCUCAAAAAAAAAAAAAAAAAUUGCACCCAUUUUCGAUCUCAUCAGCAAUGUUUUUGAGUGCUUGUUUCCCAUUCCUUCGAAAAUAUAAAUGGGUCAUUAGUCAUUACCCUCCCAGCUUAACCUCUCUAAGCAACUUCCCACUGUCCUUGGAAACAGCAUCUACUUUCCUCGCCAUGGCCUCCAAGGGCUUGCCUACACUAUUUGACUCCUGCCUGUCUCGCUUCCCAUGCCCUGCUGAAGGCAAGUGUUGGACACAUCUAAGGGAUGCCAGCCAGCAGGGUUGGGAGGGAGUUGGCAUUUCUUCCCAAGGGGAUGUGUGCUUGGGCAGUGGACCUGCAGACUGUGCCCAUCCUAUGAAUGUGGGGAAAGAGAGCAUGGCACAUGAAUGCUAGGGAAGGCAGGCUGCAGUUUCAUAACUUUGGGGGAUUGCCCGAAGGUACGAUGGACCUGGGGAAAUUGGGGCAUUGGGGUGCCUGUUUAAAGCCAUCGUCUGUAAGUGAGCCAUGUCACAGGCCAGCCAGCAGAGGACAGUAUUCUGCUUUGGGAUGAGGCCAUUUCUCCAUCAGACCAGAGGAAGCCAAACCCAGCUGUCCAUCUACCACGGGGCAGUGAGGACCCGGCGUGGGGGCUGCAGAGCAGUUAAAUGAGCCGGAGUCCGCAGCUGGCAACCAACCCCUGCGUUCUACCGAUGACAGCCUCCUGUUGAACAAGGAGCCGCACUGCUCCCUGGGGCACGGGCCUGAGAAGCUGGGACCACCCGGGGUUGGGGGCUGGAGGGACCUGAUGUCCUGCUCCCCUGGGAUGCCCAGGUGGUGGAUGAGGUCCAGGUCCCACCCAACCCUCAACCAUUCCAUCCCUGCAGUCAUUCCGUGCCUUCCCAAGGUGUCUGCAGAUGUGCAGUGGAGGUUGGGGGUCAAUCCAGGAACCACCCGAGAACUGGCUAAGUGGGAUGCCUGGCACUGGUCCCAGAGCUGUCUCAGCUGUGCAAAGUGAGAUAUCACCUUCUAAACCCUACGAUGCACCUGUAAAGGGAAAAUGUGAAAUCUCAGAACCCCCGAAACUUAUGCCACAGGGAAAGCUAAGCUUAAAGGCUGAGUCACGCAACACACUCUCUCUCUGUCUGUCUGUCUAUCUGUCUGUCUGUCUCUCUCUCUCUCUCUCUCUCUCUGUGUGUGUGUGUAUGUUAGACAGGGUCUUGCUCUGUCACCCAGGCUGGAGUGCAGUGACGCAAUCAUGGCUCACUGUUGCAGCCUGGACCUCCUGGGCUCAAACAAUCCUCCCUCCUCAACCUCCCAAAGUGCUGGGAUUACAGGCAUGAGCCACUGCACCCAGCCGGGAAGAAGUAUUGAUACAAGCAACAACAUGAUGAAUGUCAGAUCAUCUGGCUGAGUGAACGAAACUAGGCCAAAACCACAAGUGCAUAUUAUACGAUUCCAUUCAUAUAACAUUUUAGAAAAUCUAAACGAAUCUACAGUGACACAAAGCAGCCAUUGGUUGCCUGGGGAUAAAGAAGGCAGGGAUUAUAGAGUAGAAGGGAUUAUAGAGGGGUGAGAUAUAAUUUUUGGGGGUGGUGGGUAUGUCAUUAUCUAAAUUGUGGUGAUAGUUUCAUGGGUGUGUGUAUAUAUAUAUGUAUGUAUAUGUAUAUAUAUGUGUAUAUAUGUAUGUAUAUGUAUAUAUGUGUAUAUAUAUGUGUGUAUAUAUAUAUGUCAAAAUGUAUCAAAAUCUAUACUGUAAUUAUAUGUAGUUUAUUGUAAGUAAAUCAAACCUUUUUGGUUUUUUCAAGAUGGAGUUUCAUUCUGUUGCCCAGGCUGGAGUGCAGUGGCACAAUCUUGGCUCACUGCAACCUCCACCUUCUGGGUUCAAGCGAUUCUCUUGCCUCAGCCUCCCGAGUAGCUGGGACCACAGGUGCCUGCCACCACACCUGGCUAAUUUUUGUAUUUUUAGUAGAGACGAGGUUUUGGCAUGUUGACCAGGCUGGUCUUGAAUUCCUGACCUCAAGCAGUCCUCCUGCCUUGGCCUCCCAAAGCGCUGGGAUUACAGGAGUGAGCCACCACACCCGGCCUCAGUAAAUAAAAUUUUAAUAAAACUUUUUUUUUUAAUGCCAAUAUAGUCAUGUCUGUAAUCCCAGUGCUUUGGAAGGCCAAGGCAGGAGGAUUGCUUGAGGCCAGGAGUUCGAGACCAGCCUGGGCAAUAUAGCUAGAACUUCUGUUUACCAAAAAAAUGCUGAUGUGUCAAAAAUAAAUAUUUUUCAUCACUGGCUCAAAUUUUAAUAUCUUCCUUUGCCAUGUAUACUGCAUGAGGUGGGGAAUGGGGGAAUGGAAUAAUUUGGGAAAGUAAAGAUGAUCAAGGCUCAGUGUUAAUUCUACAAUAUAUUGCUUUCAUUGCCUUAACCAUGCAUGCUUAUUACAGCAAAGUCAGAACAAGGUUGAGACGGGGUCUCGCCGUGUCGCCCAGGCUGGAGUGCAAUGGCGUGAUCUCGGCUCACUGCAGCCUCUGCCUCCCAGGUUCAAGCAAUUCUCCUACCUCAGCCUCCUGAGUAGCUGGGAUUACAGGCGCGUGCUACCACGUCCGCCUAACUUUUUGUAUCUUUAGUAGAGACGGGGUUUCACCAUGUUGGCCAGGCUGGUCUCGAAGUCCUGACCUCGUGAUCCACCUGCCUCGGCCUCCCGAAAUGCUGGGAUGACAGGCGUGAGCCACAAUGCCCAGCCUAUAACAUUUUUAUAAAUGUUUUUGAGUGAAUGGAGAAAUUAAUUACUCUGUUCUGUGAUGCUUGGUGUUUGUCAGCUUUAAAUCCCCCAUAGCACUCAGAUCUUAGAGACAGAACUUUGGUCUUUAUGGGUGAAUUACAACCAAUUCCAUUUACAUUACUUUCAUUUCUCUAUAUGCUAAAGUUACCUUUUUUUUUUUCUUCAGUCUAUUGCCCAAGCUGGAGUGAGGUGGUGCGAUAUCAGCUCAUUGCAGCCUCCAACUUUUGGGCUCAAGCAAUCCUCCCACCAGCCUCCCGAGUAGCCAGGACUACAGGCAUGCGCUACCAUGCCAGGCUUAUUUUUAAAAUUUUUUGUAGAGAUGGAGUCUCACUAUGUUGCCCAGAUUGGUCUCAAACGCUUGGCCUCAAGCGAUCCUGCCUCAGCCUCCUAAAGCACUGGGAUUACAGACGUGAGCUACUUAUUGAUAAAUUUCUGGAUUAUAGAAGGUCAUAUAGGUUUAAAUUGAUAAAUUGAAACCAGCAGAUUUCUGGCAUUUAGAAUGCUUCCUCAACACCUUUCCAAGAAGGCUGGCUGUGGCCAGGCAUGGUGACUCAAACCUAUAAUCCCAACACUUUGGGAGGCCAAGGCGGGUGGAUCACCUGAGGUCAGGAGUUUGAGAUCAGCCUGACCAACAUGGUGAAACCCUGUCUCUACUAAAAAUACAAAAACAUUAGCCAGGCGUGGUGACGGGUGCCUAUAAUCCCAGCUACUCAGGAGGCUGAGGCAGAAGCAUCGCUUGAACCUUGUAGGUGGAGGGUACAGUGAGCCAAGAUCACGCCACUGCACUCCAGCCGGGGGGAUAAAGUAAGACUCCAUCUCAAAAAUAAAAAUAAAAAUAAAAUAAAUAGAAACCAGCACAUUUCUAGUAUUUAGAAUGUUUCCUCAACAUCUUUCCAAGAAGGCUGGCUGCCUUGCAGGAAUUUCAGCACACGUGCCCACAAAUACAGGACCAAUGCCUUUGCCGCCUGGGUUAUACUCUACACUUGAGCUGCUCUUGUUUUUAUAUUAUAGACUGCUGUUCAUUUAGCUUCGUCAUGAUUGAUUCGUUUGUGGUGGGUUGCUUGUCCUGCUGUAGAAUGUGUAGUAAGAUCUAUUUGCUUCAAAAGUGGUUUGGAGCCAGGUACGGUGACUCACACCUAUAACCACAACACUUUGGGAGGCUGAGGCAAGAGGAUGGCUUGAGCCCAGGAGUCUGAGACCAGAUUGGCGAAACCCCAUCUCUACAAAAAAAAAAAAUUAAAAAAAUUAGCUGUGCAUGGUGACAUGUGCUUGUAGUACCAGCCACUUGGGAGGCCGAGGCAAGAGGAACACUUGAGCCCAGGAGGUGGAGGUUGCAGUGAGCUAUGAUCAUGCCACUGCACUCCAGCCUGGGCAACAGAGUAAGACCCUGUUUCAAAACAAAAAAAUAGUUUUAGUCUAUAACAUUCCAGGAAGUAAACUUGAAGCCAUGUCACAAUUCAAAUAUGAACUGCCUAUACUCCUAUGGAUCACUUGAGGUCAGGAGUUCAAGACGAGCCUGGCCAACAUGGCAAAACCCCGUCUCUACUAAAAAUACAAAAAUUAGCCGGUGUCGUGGCAUUCACCUGUAAUUCCAGCUACUCAGGAGGCUGAGGCAGGAGAAUCUCUUGAACCCGGGAGGCGGAGGUUACAGUGAGCCUAGAUCGCACCACUGCACUCCAGCCUGGGGGACAGAGAGAGACUCUCUCGAUUAAAAAAAAAAAAAAGAUAUAUCACAGCCCCACCCUCCCACCCACAGUUUUUCCCUUGUGCAGUGACUCAAUUGCAAAUGCCAAGUUCCUCCUCUUCCUCCCCAAGUUACAAAGUGAAAACAUAUAGCGUAGGCAGGUUGCGGGGGGCCUAUCAAUCCACAAAGUUUAGGAGCCCCUGGUGUAGCAAGAAGAACCACGAACCUACCGUCAGGUGAGCUGAUGUGGAUUCUGCUGCUCUAUGGCUGUGUGAGCUUGCCAAGUCACUUUACCUCUCUGAGCCUUUAGAUUCUUCUAAAAAUGGAGCUGUUAUAUCCAAUUUCCAGAUUUGUUGUAAAAAUUAAACAUGGGUUAGGCGUGGUGACUCAUGCCUGUAAUCCCAGCAGUUUGGGAGGCUGAGGUGGGAGGAUGGCUUGAGCCCAGAAGUUUGAGACCAGCGUGGGCAACAUAGUGAGACCGCUUCUCUAGGAAAAAAUAAAAAAAAAAAAAAAUAGCUGGGUGUGAUGGCACAUGACUGCGGUCCCAGCACCUUGGGAGGCUGAGGUGUGUGCAUCACCUGAGGUCAGGAGUUGGAGACCAGCCUGGCCAACCUGGUGAAACCCCGUCUCUACUAAAAAUACAUGGCCGGGCGCGGUGGCUCACGCCUGUAAUCCCAGCACUUUGGGAGGCCGAGGCGGGCAGAUCACGAGGUCAGGAGAUCGAGACCAUCCUGGCUAACAUGGUGAAACCCCAUCUCUACUAAAAAUACAAAAAAAAAAAUUAGCUGGGCGUUGUAGGGGGCAUCUGUAGUCCUAGCUGCUCAGGAGGCUGAGGCAGGAGAAUGGCGUGAACCCGGGAGUCGGAGGUUGCAGUGAGCCGAGAUCGUGCCACUGCACUCCACCCUGGGCGACUGAGCAAGACUCCGUCUCAAAAAAAAAAUAAAAAUAAAAAUAAAAAUAAUAAAAGAAUAAAAUAAAUUUUAAAAAAUUAAAAUUAAAAAAAUAUACAAAAAAUUAGCCAAGCAUGGUGGUGCACGCCUGUAAUCCCAGCUACUUGGGAGGCUGAGGCACGUGAAUCGCUUGAACCCGGGAAGCAGAGGUUGCAGUGAGCCGAGAUCUCGCCACGGUACUACAGCCUGGGCAACAAGAGUGAAACUGUCUCAAAAAAAAAAAAAAAAAAAGUGGUAAGUGGUGCUUUUGGAAAGUGCUUUGUAAACUACAGAGUCCUCUACAAAGACUCUUCUGUUGUCCUCCUUUUGUAAACCCAAAGUGCUCAGCACAAGGCCUGGCACACAGGAGGCACUAAAUAAAUACUUACCAAAUUAAUAAAUCAGUGGCCAGGUGUGGUAGCUCACGCCUGUAAUCCCAGCACUUUGGGAGGCCGAGGCGAGCAGAUCCCUUAAGGUCAGGAGCUUGAGACCCGCCUGGCCAACAUGGUGAACACCCCAUAUCUAUUAAAAAUACAAAAAUUAGCUGAGCCUGGUGGUGCAUGCCUGUAACUCCAGCUACUCAGAAAGCUGAGGCAGGAGAAUCGCUUGAACCCGGGAGGCGGAGGUUGCAGCGAGCCAAGAUCACACCACUGCGCUCCAGCCUGGGCGACGUGCAAGACUCUGUCUCCAAAAAAAAAAAAAUAGGAAGAAAGUUAUCUCUUAAGUCAAGUGUGUCUCCGCAUCAUUUCUAGCCUUCUGCCUUAGCUCUCCCCUCUGCAGUGACACAGAAUCAAUCAUCUUCCUCUCCUCCCAGUAAGCCCUUCAGAUAGUUCAGCCAGUGGCCAUGACCCCUGAAGCUUCUCCAGGGAGGCCUCCUGGUCCCUGCAACUGUUCCUCAUCAGACAUCUUUGGAAGGUUCCCCUCUGUCCCAGUCCUGGUCACUUUUUAUUGCACAAGUUCCGAUUUGCCUACAUCUUUUUUCAGAGUAUAUGUCUAGAAGAAGAACCGGAACUCUUAGGGUGACCUGACAGGCACAGAGAGGAAGGGACCACCCCAUCUCUUCCUUUUUCCAAGCCCCAGACCUCAGUGACAACAGCUCAGGAUCCCAAGUUCUCAAGAUGCUAUUUUUAGCCCACUCCUGAUUCAUAUUCUGCUUCCUGCUGGGUAAAACCUUAAUUAUUCUUUUGGCUGGGCUCGGUGGCUCACACCUAUAAUCCCAGCAGUUUGGGAAGCUGGGGCGGGUGGAUCACUUGAGGUCAGGAGUUCAAGACCAGCCUGGCCAGCAUGGCAAAACCCCGUCUCUACUAAAAAUACAAAAAAUUAGGCAGGCGUGGCGGCACGUGCUUGUAGCCCCAGCUACUCGGGAGGCUGAGACAGGAGAAUCACUUGAACCCGAGAGGCAGAGGUUGCAGUGAGCCGAGAUCACGCCAUUGCACUCCAGCCUGGGCACAGAGGAAGACUCCGUCUCCAAAAAAAAAAAAACUUUAUUUUUCAUGCCCACUGCUGCGUCAUGAGCGAUGUUAACUUAAUCUUUAACUGAACUUUAGCAAUUUUAUCAGUUAUGGAUAUAGGCAAUGAAACACAGUCUUAUUACCAGUACCAGUAACUUUGUCACCAGUAGAAGUCACAGGUAUGUUCAUACCAUGUUCCACUUAUAGAAAACUCAAAAAAAAUCAUUUAUGCUUCAAAAUUAUGGUAGCUAUCAGGCCUGCUGUUAGAUCUUGUUAUUUAAUGCAUCCAUAAAGCAGCACAUAGAGUAUGGUUUUUGUUUUUGUUUUUUUUUGAGAUAGAGGUUUGCUCUUGUUGCCCAGGCUGGAGUGCAAUGGUGCAAUCUUGGCUCACCGCAACCUCCACCUCCUGGGUUCAAGUGAUUCUCCUGCCUCAGCCUCCCAAGUAGCUGGGAUUACAGUUGCCCACCACCACACCCAGCUAAUUUUUUUGUAUUUUUAGUAGAGACAGGAGUUUCUUCAUGUUGGUCAGACUGGUCUUGAACUCCCAACCUCAGGUGAUCCACCUGCCUCAGCCUCCCAAAGUGCUGGGAUUACAGGCACGAUUUUGUUUUUAUUAAUAUUUUGAUAACUACAGGCUUCCUUGGUAAUUCAGUGUAUUUUAUUUUAUCCAUUUAAAAAGCAACAUUCUUGGCCAGGUGUGGUGGCUCACUCCUUUAAUUCCAACACUUUGAGAGACCCAGGCAAGAGGAUUGCUUGAGGCCAGGAGUUGGAGACCAGACUAGACAACAUAGUGAGCCCCUGUCUCUACAAAAAAAAAAAAAAAAAAUACAAAAAUUAGCCAGGUGUGGUGGCACGUGUCUGUAGUCCUAGGUACUCGGGAUGCUGAAGCAGGAGGAUCGCCUGAGCCCAGGAGUUGGAGGCUGCAGUGAGCUAUGAUUGUACCAGUGCACUCCAGCCUGGGCAACAGAAUGAGACCCUGUCUCAAAAAAAAAAAAAAAAAAAAAAAAGCAUCAUUUACAUGAGGAGUCCCUAGGUUUCAUCAGAUAUGUCAGAUAUGACAAAAAGGAGUAAGAACUUCGGCCAAAAGCCAAAAAAUUCAAAGAGCCUGCCUGCCUGCCUCCCUUCCUUCCAGACAUUUCCUGAAGGCCUACUCUGUGCAGGACUCUACAUGGUGCUGUCCCUCAAGAAGCUCACAGUCUGGGAAGAGAGACAGACACAACAAACAGGAUUUUUUUAAAAAUAUUUUUUUAAAUAUAAUAGAAAUGGGGGUCUCACUAUGUUGUCCAAAGGCUAGUCUCUAACUUGUGGGCUCAAGCAAUCCUCCUGCUUUGGCCUCCCAAAGUGCUGGGAUGACAGGUGUGAGCCACUGCACCCAGCCUUUCUUUUUUGUUUGUUUGUUUGUUUGUUUGUUUGUUUGUACAGACAGGGGUCUCACUAUGUUGCCCAGGCUGGUCUCAAACUCUUGGGCUCAAGUGAUCCUCCUGCCUGGGCCUCCCAAAGUGCUGGGAUGACAGGCGUGAGCUGCUGUGACUGGCCAAAAACCAGGAAGUAAAUACCGUGUUAUACUUGCCAUGGUAGAGAUGUGUGUAGUGGUAGAAAUAGAACAACCUGGCUGGGCACAGGGGCUCACGCCUGUAAUCCCAGCACUUUGGAAGGCCAAGGCAGGUGGAUCAUGAGGUCAGGAGAUCGAGACCAUCCUGGCUAACAUGGUGAAACCCCGUCUUUACUGAAAAUACAAAAAAAUUAGCCAGACGUGGUGGCGGGCGCCUGUAGUCCCAGCUACUCGGGAGGCUGAGGCAGGAGAAUGGCGUGAACUCGGAAGGUAGAGUUUGUAGUGAGCCAAGGUCGCACCACUGCACUCCAGCCUGGGCGACAGAGCGAGACUCCGUCUCAAAAAAAAAAAAGAAAUAGAACAACUUGGCCAGGUGCAGUGGCGCACGCCUAUAAUCCCAGCACUUUGGGAGGCCAAGGCAGAUGGAUCACUUGAGGCCAGGAGUUUGAGAGCAGCCUGGCCAACAUGGCGAAACCCUGUCUCUACUAAAAAUACAAAAAUUAGCAGGGCGUGGUGGCAUGUGCCUGUAAUCCCAGCUACUGGGGAGGCUAAGGCAGGAGAAUCACUUGAACCUGGGAGGUGGAGGUUGCAGUGAGCCAAGAUCACGCCACUGCACUCCAGCCUGGGCGACAGAGUAAGACUCUGUCUCAAAAAAAUAAAAAGAAAUAGAACAACUUUAGAGAUCUAAUGACCCAAGUUCAAAUCCUAGCUCUUCCACUAACUCACAGUGUGACCUCCUCACAUCCUAUUCGUCCCUCGGUCAAUCUUAUCUGUUUUCUUCAUCAAAACCCUGCAAGAUAAGACUUAGUUCCCAUUUUAUAGAUGAGGAAACUGAGGCUCCCUUACCCAAGAUCACUCAGGCAGCGAGUGAAAGAGCCAGGGUGAGGUCCUGCUUCCUCCUGACUUCCAGCCUGAGCUCCACCAGCUCCACACUGGCUGCUUCUCAAAUGCUAAUGUAGGAGCCAUUAAUGUCUCCUUUAAGGGAACAUUAAAGGAAAUGGCCAGUAUAACAUGGUAUUUAUCUCCUGGUUUUUGGCUUGGCUCAUGCCUGGAAUCCCAACACUUUGGGAGGCCCAGGCACGAGGAUCACUUGAGCCCAAGAGUUUGAGACCAGCCUGGGCAACAUAGUGAGACCUCUGUCUGUACAAACAACAACAACAAAAAGGCCCAGUGGGCUGGGCGUGGUGGCUCAAGCCUGUAAUCCCAGCAUUUUGGGAGGCUGAGAUCUCAGGCGGAUCACCUGAGAUCGGGAGUUCGAGACCAGCCUGACCAUCAUGGUGAAACCCCGUUUCUGCUAAAAAUGCAAAAUUAACCGGGCAUGCUAGCGCAUGCCUGUAAUCCUAGCUACUCGGGACGCUGAGUCAGGAGAAUCGCUUGAACCGGGGAGGCGGAGGUUGCGGUGAGCCAAGAUCACACCAUUGCACUCCAACCUGGGGAACAAAAGCGAAACUCAGUCUCAAAAAAAAAAAAAAAAAGUGCAGUGUCUCACACCUGCAAUCCUAGGUUUCCCUUAAGGGAAACGUGAAUAUCUCCUGCAACUGCCCUCUCCGAGCCUAAACCCUCUGCACAGCAAAUGCAGAAAACUCUUUCUACAGAGAGCUAGGUGGGCUGACUGGCCAUGCCAUCCUAGACUGGUGUACCUCAGGUCUCCUCUUCAAAAAAUAUCUUGAAAUUCUUGCCAGAAAUUCAGUGUGAAAUGCAUUCGGGAUGGUGGCUGUUGUUAUAACAGUCCCCAGGGGUCUCAAUUACGUGAGAACCCUCGGCUUCUGGACAAGAGACAAGGAAGGGAAGUAGGUCACAUCCCAAAGGCAUCAGGGCUAAUAACUUUGCAUUGAACAUUUUCUGUGGCCCCACUGUGUGCUAGGUGCCAGGGCUGUGGAUACAGACACAGGUAUAAAUCAGACAUGGCUUCUGCCCUUGGUAAGCUCACAAUUACGGGCACAAAUAUGCAAUGAUAGUAUAAUAUGGGAAGUGCCUCAGGAGGCUGAGGCAGCGAACUGCUUGAACCAGGGAGGAGGAGGUUACAGUGAACAGACAUUACAGCACUGCACUCCAGCCUGGGUGACAGAGCAAGACUUCGUCUCAAAAAAAAAAAAAAAAAAUUCCUGGAAGACUUGUUGCCUAAUUUUAAGUUACUUAACUUCUCUGUAUCUCCAUUGCUUCAUCUGUAAAACGGGCGUAAUUACAGAACCAGCCUCACAAGGGUUGUGAAAAUGUAAUGAGUAACUACAUAAAAAGCACACAACAGGCUAGGCAUGGUGGCUCACACCUGUCAUCCCAGCACUUUGGGAGGCCAAGGCGGGACGAUUGCCUAAGCCCAGGAGUUCAAGACCAGCCUGGGCAACAGAGCAAGAUCCCAUCUCUACAAAAAAGAAGCAGCUAGCUAGGUGCGGUAGCACGCACCUGUGGUUCCAGCUACUUGGGAGGCUGAGGCAGGAGGAUACCAUGAGCCCGGGAGGUCAAGGCUGCAGUGAGCUAUGAUUGUGCUACUGAAGCAGGACACACAAGCCCCAAAAUUUAGCCUCCUUCCUUCAGAGCCAGCAGGAGCUUCUAAGCUAUGGGGGGCAGCAGUUACAGCUGAGUCAAACCAAAGCCUGCAGCCAAGGGCAAGGAGCUGAUAACACUAGGGUGGGUGUGUGGGGAAGGAGCCAAAUACUUCUACCAUGUGAGGGGAGGGAGUACUGGGCAGGGUCACUGGAGAAAGCGAAAAAGGUAGUACCCUUGAAGGUACUGCUGGGCACAGUGGCUCAUGUCUGUAAUUCCAGGACUUUGAGAGGUCAAGGCAGGCUUAUCACCUGAGGUCAGGAGUUCGAGACCAGCCUGGCCAAUGUGGUGAAAUCCCAUAUCUACUAAAAAUGCAAAAAUUAGCUGGGCGUGGUGAUGCACACCUGUAGUCCCAGCUACUUGGGACUCGGGAGGCUGAGGCACAAGAAUCACUUGCAUCUGGGUGGCAGAGGUGGCAGUGAGCAGAGAUCACGCCACUGCACUCCAGCCUGGGUGACAGAGUGAGACUCUUGUCAAAAAAAAAGGAAGGUCUACCUUAAACAGCUGUUCUCCAGCAAAAGCACUUUUCAAACUGUAAAGUGCUGAAAUAGAUCUCGGUUAUGAGUGUUCUAUUACAUCCCUAACUUUUGAGUCCCUUCCAUUGAAUCCCUCUCCCGUUUCCUGUCCCUUUUCCUUUUUUUUUUUUCCGAGAUACAGUCUUGCUCUGUCACCCAGGCUGGAGCGCAGUGGUGCGAUCUCGGCUUGCUGCAACCUCCGCCUCCUGGGUUCAAGCGAUUCUCCUGCCUCAGCCUCCGGAGUAGCUGGGAUUACAGGCACGCGCCACCAUGCCGGGUUAAUUUUUGUAGUUUUAUUAGAGACGGGGUUUCACCAUGUUGGCCAGGCUGGUCUCUAAUUCUUGACCUCGUGAUCCGCCCGCCUCGGCCUCCCAAAGUGCUGGGAUUGCAGGCGUGAGCCACCGUGCCCAGCCUCCUGCCCCUUUUCUUCAAUAUGAAGAUAAAGCUGCCCCUGGCUGUACUGGAGGCCAAUUCCGGGCCAUAGCAGGAGGAACUGAGUUCUAAUUCUGUCUUUGCCAUGUAACUGAAUUACCCAGGGCCCUCCCUAGUCCUGUUUCCUCUUUGGUGUAAUAGGGAUGAAUACAGAUGGGAAGAUCGUGAUAUGAAAGAGUUCUGUGAGCUGUAAGGCAUAAUAAUCAUGAGGUAUUAUUACAGGACCAACAGGUGCCUAGGCCCGCUGUGCAAUAACAGACCAGUUACACUGAGGAAGCAGGGUUAUCAGCAGAAAAAGGGUUUAAAGAUGGCAGGGUGCCUAGGAGGAGACGCAGGGAGACCAACAAAUCCAUCUUCCCCAAGGAGUUCCGGGCUGGGAUUUUAAAGGGCAUUGUGAAGGGUGAGGGGCUGGAAAAUUGGGGUCAUCGACUGGUCAGGGUAAGGGGGUUGAAAUCCUCAGGAUAUGGAAACUGCAGUCCCCAUUGAGUCUUGCUUCUGUGGGCUCCUUCAGAACAACUGGUGUCAGUAAUUAUGCUGGUAUGCGGGACCUGAAAGAAUAUCUCCAAGGGAAAACGUUUCAUAAUGUUCAAGUUGUUAUCUAUGGAGUUAAGGGGAAUUGUAAUCUUGUGACAGGGUCUACGUGAUUCUAGGACAGACGAUGGGCACCUAUCAUAGCUGAUACACAGAGCUAUGAGCAAGCAGGUCGGAGAGCAAGGUGACCUAGUGAUGAACGCAGAGUGUGCUGCAAGCUUCGUUUAUUUUCGUUUUUCCCCCUCCCUUCUUCCCUGAUUAAUUUCCUAAAGUUUAUAGGAGCAGUUUCAGUACCAGCCCGAGUAGGAUGGAAUCAAACACGGUGCUGGAACAUUCCUACCCGGAAGUGGCCCCGACCCCCCUCCCCCCGUCCCGGCCUCCCACGCACGGGGGGGGGGGGGGG
rnacentral:lncRNA from 1 species